rnacentral:misc_RNA from 1 species
CUGCAGCAGUUCAAAAUGAAACAACAAUUUUCCUCAAGAGGAAAUUACUAAUUAGCACUAAUGGGAUAUAAGCAUGGUGCAACAGCAACUGAUUUGAGGAUUUAUUGCAACAAUAAGAUACAGUGAAUGCAAAAAUUUGGAUAAGGGACAAUUCAUUUAUUCAAGAAUAUAUUUUGUAUCCUCUUUUUGACUUUGAUAUACAGGCAAGUUAGCAACAUUUAACCUUGAUCCAGAUGAAUUGAAUGUAGAAAACAUAAGCAUUUAACCUUCUGCUGGCACUUUCAUUCAACUUUGAGAAUCAGCAACAAAGCUCAUUUAAACUUCAGUCCUUUUGUGUUUAACUUCAGAUCUAGACUCCAAUAAUCUUUUUCGAUGAAUCAACUUCAUCAUCAAGGCAAAUGUCUACUUCAGCAAUUAUCCAAGACAUGCAUUUCGUGUACUGGUAAAAUGAUGCUUGGUGCUGCAAUGAGUUGUGUGUAAUGAAGUUCGACUGCCUGGACAAUCACGUCAGUCAUAAUGACUAAGAAAUUGUAUUAUGCAAGGAUAAACUUGCUCCACUGCCAGUCGUCCUCCCACCAGAUCAUAGUGUGCAUAAUGUGGACCUCCAGCUUCUCCAAAAACCUUAUAAGUAACCAAAUGCUUGGGGAAGAGCUUAACAGUUUCUUCCACAGCUUCAGGUGGGCAAAUUAGAUCUUGGUCUCCAGCUAAGGCUAACACAGGUACAUUGCUCUUGCAUAGAUGAUCCUUGUAGAAAAAUUUACCACUUCUAUCACAUAAUCCACCAUCCCGAAAAGCUGUUGUAAGCUGCAAGAUAAGUUUGGCGGGUAUUGUACAAAAGUUGUUCAAGACGAGCUUUUCUAACAACUCUGGAUGCAUCAUGUCCUCAGCUGAUAUGAGAUAAUUAAGCCAAGACAACACAUAAGGAGGGCGAGAUGAAAGAGGAUAUGCUGCUGACAAUAAUGCCCCCAAAGGAACAACAGGUACACUAAGAGCCUGAGCAGGAUCUGCCAAAGGCAAAAGCAAUUUGAGUCUCGAAUUUGAAGACGUAUAGUCAAGUGAUGAUGCCAGAGUAACAAUAGCAGCCAAUCCAGGGUCUCUUCCUUCACAACCUAGUAAAUUGAUAAAUAGGACAUGAGUAUGAACAUGGUCAUAUCUUCAUCUUUACACAACGUGAAAGCAUAGCAUAUAUCAAGAUGCCUCCCAUGGAGUGUCCAAUUGCAAGCAAUUUACCAUCCUUUGGCUUGCUUUCUGCCCUUAUGUAUUCCAUCUACACGGAUAUAUUUGAAUAUAUUAUUUACAUAUGAAGAGUAUUCAUCACUUUUUUACAGAAGAAUAAUCUUUUUCUUUCCCAUUAAUUGUUAGGAAAGGGGAUUUGAAUAACAGACCUCCAGAUUAGAGGAGAGAUAUGGUUACCAAUUAGGAUAUCCCAAGGAAUGGUAUCAUACUAUAAUAAAUAUGCUAAUUGUGCAGACCGAAAAAUUGAACAAUGAAUAUAGCAUGUCGGCAAGAUAAAAUGUCACCUCACCACAGCAGGAACGUCCUCUUCUAGGUAAUUAUCAAAAUCCCAGUCAUACUGCACAAUCAAGUCAAGCUGUUUCUGGAAAUCUUCUAUGGUCGAGGAAAGACGCUCUUGCAAGUCAAACAACUGAGGUGAAACAGAUCUUUGACCUUCCUCAAAAAUAUUUACAAGCCUUUCACUCAGAUCCCUGAUUUGACUAGCAAUAACUGAGUUUUGUCUUGUUUCUAACAAGCUUAAAAGCUUCCCCCUUAUCUCAUUAAAGCGCUCAGAUAACUGAGAAUCUUCUAUAAGUUUUGCUAUCUGAUCAAAUAAUUUAGCAGAAAUAAUCUUUGAUUGGCCUUCACUGAGGAAGCCAGAGAGUCUUUCUGACAAACGCAUAAAAGUUUCAGUCAACUUUGAUACCAGCUUUGAUUCAUCCCACACAGUUACCAUACCUGUUGGAUCCUCCUUGACAGUAAAAUCCUUAGAAUCUAAUAAGGCACUGGAAACAUUAAUUGGCUGCUGAUUGUUAGAUAAGGCUCCAUUAUUUACAGUCUUAGCAACAGCUUCCAUCUGUUCAGACACUGCAUGCGCAGACUGCUGAAUUUCUUUUGGAUUUGUUUUCCGUACACUCAAUCCAGCACCUCGAACUUCAAGAAUCCAUGUGUCAAAUCCCUGACCAGACAUGUAUCGCGCAAAUGAACACCCUGGUGAGAGAUCGUAACCGAUGGCAUUAGUGCCGACUCCAGACAAUAGCAAUAGUGGAUGAUUCCUCGGAGGCGCCUCAGGAGAAGGACGAUAACGCCAGAGAGCGAGGCGCCAAUGGGAAUCGGCGACGGAGACAUAGUGGAUCUCAUCGGCAGUACAAACAGGCGGCUUCUCACGAAGCUUGACGGGGAGCACAGGGUCAGUAGAAUCGGUGGAGAAAGCUCUGAAUGGAAAAGACGUCGCUUUAGUUUUAGAAGAGGAAAGAAACAGUCGGUUAGUAAAAGGGCGGCGCGUCCGGGAGGCGCGUGGUGAAAUGAAGAAAUUGGCGAUGUGGAGAGCGGAACGAAAAUCGGAUUGGAUUGUGGAGGUGGAGGUUACCAUUUCUGCGAAAUUUCUUGCGUUUUU